UUAAGGCUGAGACUUGAUGCAUACCCGUUGUGGGGAAUUCAGUGAUCCUAUGCUGCCGAAAAAGCCUCUAGUGAGUUCAUACACGGCCCGUACCCCAAACCGACACAGGUGAUCAGGUAGAGAAUACCAAGGCGAUCGAGAGAACUGUGGUUAAGGAACUCGGCAAAAUGCCCCCGUAACUUCGGGAGAAGGGGGACCAUGCCCGGUGAACAUCUUCACGGUGGGAGCUGGGUGUGGUCGCAGAGACCAGAGAGAAGCGACUGUUUACUAAAAACACAGGUCCGUGCGAAGACGUUAGUCGAUGUAUACGGACUGACGCCUGCCCGGUGCUGGAAGGUUAAGAGGACCGGUUAGCCGUAAGGCGAAGCUGAGAAUUUAAGCCCCAGUAAACGGCGGUGGUAACUAUAACCAUCCUAAGGUAGCGAAAUUCCUUGUCGGGUAAGUUCCGACCUGCACGAAUGGCGUAACGACUUCUCUGCUGUCUCGACCACAGACUCGGCGAAAUUGCACUACGAGUAAAGAUGCUCGUUACGCGCGGCAGGACGAAAAGACCCCGGGACCUUUACUAUAGCUUGGUAUUGGCGUUCGAUUCGGUUUGUGUAGGAUAGGUGGGAGACUGUGAAGCAUGCACGCCAGUGUGUGUGGAGUCGUUGUUGAAAUACCACUCUGAUCGUAUUGGGCGUCUAACCUCGGCCCAUGAUCUGGGUUAGGGACAGUGCCUGGUGGGUAGUUUAACUGGGGCGGUUGCCUCCUAAAGAGUAACGGAGGCGCCCAAAGGUUCCCUCAGCCUGGAUGGCAAUCAGGUGUUGAGUGCAAGUGCACAAGGGAGCUUGACUGUGAGACUGACACGUCGAGCAGGGACGAAAGUCGGGACUAGUGAUCCGGCACCGGCAAGUGGAAGCGGUGUCGCUCAACGGAUAAAAGGUACCCCGGGGAUAACAGGCUGAUCUUCCCCAAGAGUCCAUAUCGACGGGAUGGUUUGGCACCUCGAUGUCGGCUCGUCGCAUCCUGGGGCUGGAGUAGGUCCCAAGGGUUGGGCUGUUCGCCCAUUAAAGCGGCACGCGAGCUGGGUUUAGAACGUGUGAGACAGUUCGGUCUCUAUCCGCCGCGCGCGUAAGAAACUUGAGGAAGGCUGUCCCUAGUACGAGAGGACCGGGACGGACGAACCUCUGGUGUGCCAGUUGUUCCACCAGGAGCAUGGCUGGUUAGCUACGUUCGGAAGGGAUAACCGCUGAAAGCAUCUAAGCGGGAAGCCUGUUCCAAGAUGAGGUUUCUCACCACCUUGCGUGGUUAAGGCCCCCUACAGACCAUGGGGUUGAUAGGCCGGAACUGGAAGCGCAGCAAUGCGUGGAGGUGACCGGUACUAAUAGGCCGAGGGCUUACC
rnacentral:rRNA from 1 species